rnacentral:rRNA from 1 species
UACGGAGGGUGCAAGCGUUAUCCGGAUUCAUUGGGCGUAAAGGGUGCGUAGGUGGCGCGUUAAGUCAGGUGUGAAAUUUCGGAGCUUAACUCCGAAACUGCAUUUGAUACUGGCGUGCUUGAGGACUGGAGAGGAGACUGGAAUUCAUGGUGUAGCAGUGAAAUGCGUAGAGAUCAUGAGGAAGACCAGUGGCGAAGGCGGGUCUCUGGACAGUUCCUGACACUGAGGCACGAAGGCCAGGGGAGCAAACGGG